GCCGAAGUGGUGGAACUGGCAGACGCGCUGCGUUCAGGUCGCAGUGAGGGAAACCUCGUGGGGGUUCGAAUCCCCCCUUCGGCACCA
rnacentral:tRNA from 1 species